rnacentral:lncRNA from 1 species
GAAUUUCUUGAGAUUUCAAAACGAGCUGACGAAGGAUUCUUUUAAUUCUACUUUUGAUUUUUAUAUUAACUUUUUUUCAAUUUAUUUACUUAAUUUUGUUAUGUUUGAUAUUGUAGCCAACCAUUGCUUAUCAAGUUAUCCUGAACAAGAAUUUUGUGGAGAAUUUUGUGAAAUGAUUUGUUUGAUUAGCAGGGUGUAGUAGCCGUAUUGUAGAAUCAAAUACUGCGGUUGCAAAAGGAAAAUCUAAUUCUUAAGAUGAAGGUCCAAAACUGAACUCUAUUACUUUCUGCGUAUUUUUCAUGUCUUCAAUUCUUAUUUUAGCAUUUUCUAUUAUUUUGAACUGUUUGUAGUUAUUUUGAAAUAUUUCUUUUUUUACAGAAUGAUGAACUUGAGGCUCUUCCCUAGAAGAAGCAUUGGAUUAAGUAAAUUUUUUAUUUUAUUUUUCAUUGUGGUUGUAUAUUGAUAUUGAUUCAGUAAUGUUUUAUUUUGCAUUGUAUGUGUGUUUAAUUAAAAUGUGUUUUACCAUUCAUUACAAAUAAUAGAAUAACAAAUUUUUGACAAACUGAAAUUUAUCCAAUAAAAUUAUUUAUUUCAAGAUGAGUAAUUGCCCAUAAUCGAAUUUAAGUAACUGAAAUCUGAUAAUAGAAUUUGUUAGUUUUGUUGCGAUAUUUCUGUUUAAUUUCUAUUUUAUUGAAAUGAUUUGUUUGAUAAGCAGGGUGUAGUGGCUAACUUGAAGAAUCAAAUACUGUGGUUGCAAAAGGAAAAUCAAAUACUUAAGAUGAAGGUCCAAAAGUGAGCUCUAUAAUUUUCUGCACAUUUUUCAUGUCUUCAAUUUAUAUUUUAGCAUUUACUGUUAUUUUGAACUGUUUAUAGUUAUUUUGAAAUAUUUGAUUUUUUACAUAAUGAUGAACUUGAGGCUCUUCCCUAGAAGAAACAUUGGAUUGAGUAAAGUGUUUUAUUUUAUUUUGCAUUGUGGUUGUAUAUUGUUAUUGAUUGAGUAAAGUUUUU